rnacentral:piRNA from 1 species
UUUGGUGUUGCAACGAAAAUGGUUUUGUCUCU